rnacentral:misc_RNA from 1 species
UGGUUCUGGCAUCGAUGAAGAACGCGGCGAAAUGCGAUAAGUAAUGUGAAUUGCAGAAUUCAGUGAAUCAUCGAAUCUUUGAACGCACAUUGCGCCCGCCGGUAUUCCGGCGGGCAUGCCUGUUCGAGCGUCAUUUCACCACUCAAGCCCAGCUUGGUGUUGGGGCGCCCGGCCGCCUGGCGGUCGGGGCCCCCAAGUACAUCGGCGGUCUCGCUAGGACCCUGAGCGCAGUAACUCGCGGUAAAACGCGCCUCGCUCGGACGUUCUCGGCGGGCUUUCCAGCCGCUAAACCCCCUAAUUUUCUUAGGUUGACCUCGGAUCAGGUAGGAAUACCCGCUGA